rnacentral:rRNA from 1 species
AGUAAGGAGAGGUAAUGGCAGGCGGAGUAGGUAAAGAGGUAUCGAGUGGGCAGUGAGCUGAGUGCCGGAUAGCGGCGGACGGGUGAGUAACGCGUGGGUAAUCUACCCAUAAGAGGGGGAUAACACUGGGAAACCGGUUGCUAAUACCGCAUAAGCUAUUCGGUAUGCAUGUACUGGAUGUAAAGGUGGCCUCUGGAGCAAGCUACCGCUUAUGGAUGAGCCCGCGUCUGAUUAGCUAGUUGGUGGGGUAACGGCCUACCAAGGCGACGAUCAGUAGCCGGCCUGAGAGGGUGGACGGCCACACUGGGACUGAGACACGGCCCAGACUCCUACGGGAGGCAGCAGUGGGGAAUAUUGCGCAAUGGGGGGAACCCUGACGCAGCGACGCCGCGUGAGCGACGAAGGCCUUCGGGUUGUAAAGCUCUUUUAUUAGGGACGAAAUCCCGCAUGCGAAUAGUGUGUGGGGAUGACGGUACCUAAUGAAUAAGCCCCGGCUAACUACGUG